CACGAGAAAGUCUGCUUUCGGGCGGGCGAGUAAAGUGGCGCACGGGUGAGUAACGCGUAGGUAAUCUACCCCUGGGUUUGGGAUAACAGUGCGAAAGCGCUGCUAAUACCGGAUACGACCUUUUCGCGGGAGCGGGAAGGUGAAAGUCGGCCUCUCGAAGAAGCUGAUGUUCGGGGAUGAGCCUGCGUCCUAUCAGCUAGUUGGCAGGGUAAAGGCCUACCAAGGCGACGACGGGUAGCUGGUCUGAGAGGAUGAUCAGUCACACUGGCACUGGAACACGGGCCAGACUCCUACGGGAGGCAGCAGUGAGGAAUUUUGCGCAAUGGCCGCAAGGCUGACGCAGCAACGCCGCGUGGGUGAUGAAGGCCUUCGGGUCGUAAAGCCCUGUCAGGUGGGAAGAACGAUUGGGGGUCGAAUAGGCCUUUGAUGUGACGGUACCACCAGUGGAAGCACCGGCUAACUCCGUGCCAGCAGCCGCGGUAAUACGGAGGG
rnacentral:rRNA from 1 species